UGUGUGUGUGUGUGGUGUGUGUGUGUGUGUGUGUGUAUGCAGGUGUUUUCAUUUUAGCCAGGGCUUCUUUUACAGUUACCAGCUGCUUGAUUUAUUGGAUGAUCUGAGGCUGCAGGCUAGUUAAUGUAGUUAUGUUAUAUGUUAAUGACCUCCCCCCUGCCUGCUCUGCCAGAGCUGAUCUCUACUGUAGGAGAGGGGACAUAGUUAGCUGUUAGCAUAACGCAUACAAACACCAAUGAAAUUGCUUUUAAAGACUGGGUAAUGGCUUAGAAAAAGGCUACUCAAAUACCUGGGUUUGAGCCAUGGAUUCUCCUAAAAAAUACAAAUGCAACCAUUUUUAUUUCUUCUCUCAGUCUCAUUUUAAUGAAUUGAGACACUAUAGAAACACAUUUACACGAUUGGAAGCACGUAAUCUGUCUGAGAAUAGGCUAUGUGUGGUAAUGCUUUUGAAUGUGAUACAAUGCUUUAUAUUGAGAGGGAAACUUAUCUCGAUAGUGUCUGCUCUCCAGCCUUACAUGCAAAUAGGCCUUGGUGAAAAGUUGCAGACAUAGAAAUAGAAGGAAGAGAGGAGAGGAGUUGUAGACAUAGACGUUAUAGAAGUGUCUCCAGUUUCACAUAAGAGUGGCCAAACGGCAGUCCUUAAUCAGUUUUUAAGAUACAAAUAGUCUGUUUUGCACUGUACAUUUCACAACUGUGGUUAUGAUAGUUCCCCAGCCAAUGGUAAUAGGCAUGUCUCUGAUUAAUCUUGUUCUUUUUCUUCCAGAGGAAUAUGGUUCUGUCUCCUCCACGCCUGAUUCAACACCUCCCUGCACUGACGGUGGGAAUGAGGAGUCUGAGCUGUACGACCUGCAGACGGCCAGGGAGUGGUCUGACGAAGAAGACGGGGGUCCGGAGGAUGAUGACGGUGGAGCUUCAUCCCCCUCCAUUUGGGGGACCCCGAGACAGAACUCCUUCGAGCCCACCUUCUCCUACAUCGCCAUCGCCGAGGCCGAGGCAGGCGGAGCCUCGCGACAUCAUCGUGACUCAUCGUCAGGGAGCCGGCGGAGGGGCGGGGCCAGGGGAGGCCGCACCUCCCUGAUCCGCACGGACACCGUGGAAUCGCUCCUCCCCCUGGACUCCCCCGACGUGGAGUGGGACCCCCACAUCUUCCUCACCCUAGAGGAUGAGGAGGAGAGGGAGAGGGAGGAAAGGGAGAGGGACCCCCACAUCUUCCUCACCCUAGAGGAUGAGGAGGAGAGGGAGGAAAGGGAGAGGGAUGUCCACAGACAGACUGUGACAGUCCAGGAUUCUCUCCUAGAUACUGACAUUGAACCUCAAGAGAGGGACACAGAGACCCAGAGAGAGGAGACAGAGCCCCUGGAGCCCCAGCACUACAGUCCCUCUGACAGCCACCAGGCAUCACCACCCCCUGAGCCUGAGUCCCUCGUAACCAUGGAAACCACCGCCCCACUGCUCACGGCUGUGCGACCAAGAGGCGGCCUCACUGAUGACGUGUCAUCCACUUCCUCCACCUCCAUUGGUCGAAACACUCAGGAAGAGCUGGUUAGCGAACAGUGGUUCUCGGUGCUCAACCUAUCAGGCCCUACGAUAUGCACCCACAUAGCAGGUAACGUUUGUAGCACAUCUUACCUAUUUUUAUGUGACUUUCCUAUCUUGGAACUACCUUUACAAUUUGAGCAUCUACCAUCCCCUUGCCGGAAUCAUUCUAUUUGACUUCUGUGACAUUAUCUUACGUCCGAUAGUGCGUCUGCACUGAUAGUUCAUGUCAACGCGGUCGUGUUAGAAUGAUGCCAUCUGCCGGAAGACAGUGACCCCUACCCCGUUACCUCCCUCCCAUCUCUGUCCUCGAUAUGCUGCUGAGAGCACAAAGCAUUCCCUCUCACUGCCUGAGUAACAUAGACCCUGGAAUAUAUUUUUGCUGUGAGCCCUGUGUGUUUCAUUGUGUCAAGGGGUAAUGGGCUAAUUCCACCAAAAAUCAUUCCUGCUCUGUCUGUAUGUAUGUCUGCUGGGACAUACACGCUGGCACCCUAAUCUUUCCGUUUCCCUUUGGUCACUGUACACAUGAUAAAGAGAAUGUGAGACAGGGCAGUGAAAGAAAGAGGGAGAGAGAGAGAGAGAGACCAAGUGUGAGACAUUAAAUCUAUCUUCUCUGGCCUCCAUGGUCGAUAUGGAUGACUCUUCAAGGGGGAUGCCACUCAAUAUGGACCUCCGUCAUAUCCUCCAAUCUUAUUAUAGUGGGUGGACUGGGGGGUGGCUGGCCCGGCG
rnacentral:lncRNA from 13 species